GACGAACUGUGCGAACGUUAUUCGGAAUCACUGGGCUUACAGGGUGCGUAGGCGGCUUGUUAAGUAGGGUGUGAAAUCCCCCGGCCCAACCGGGGAACUGCGCUCUAAACGAGCAGGCUUGAGUGAGCUAGGGGUGCACGGAACUUCCAGUGGAGCGGUGAAAUGUGUUGAUAUUGGAAGGAACACCGGAGGCGAAAGCGGUGCACUGGGGCUUAACUGACGCUGAGGCACGAAAGCCAGGGUAGCGAACGGG
rnacentral:rRNA from 1 species